GACGAACGCUGGCGGCGUGCUUAACACAUGCAAGUCGAACGGAAAGGCCCUGCUUUUGUGGGGUGCUCGAUUGGCGAACGGGUGAGUAACACGUGAGUAACCUGCCCUUGACUUUGGGAUAACUUCAGGAAACUGGGGCUAAUACCGGAUAGGAGCUCCUGCUGCAUGGUGGGGGUUGGAAAGUUUCGGCGGUUGGGGAUGGACUCGCGGCUUAUCAGCUUGUUGGUGGGGUAGUGGCUUACCAAGGCUUUGACGGGUAGCCGGCCUGGGAGGGUGACCGGCCACAUUGGGACUGAGAUACGGCGCAGACUCCUACGGGAGGCAGCAGUGGGGAAUAUUGCACAAUGGGCGGAAGCCUGAUGCAGCAACGCCGCGUGCGGGAUGACGGCCUUCGGGUUGUAAACCGCUUUCGCCUGUGACGAAGCGUGAGUGACGGUAAUGGGUAAAGAAGCACCGGCUAACUACGUG
rnacentral:rRNA from 1 species